GUCAGUCCCAUGAAUCCCUUCCUCUUGAUUCACGAACCUAAUUGUGAGGUGCUAAGGGUCAUUCUGGGGGAUCUAUGGAGUAAGCUUCGGGUGGUUAACGUCUUCUAAAUUACCUAUAGUGUCUUUCACUUCGGGUUCUAUUUGUCUAAGGAAGAGUUGGUUAACAGCGCAUGAUAUCCUACUCAGGGGUAUUUCGGAAGGUUUUAGAUAAGAGAGACGACUGACGGCUUGCGUUAUGUUUACAUAUUAGGUUCGGAAGGACCUUUAUUUGAUGUUUUAGGAUACAGCGAAAUUCUCUUUACGCAGCACUAGGAAUUUACACAUGGUUGCACCAAGUCGAACCAUGAUUAAUAAAGUCGUCGAAGUUGGCAUACAUCGACACGAUAUAGAAUGAGAGUUGAUAAGGUCAUGUGUUGAACGGGCACACAAGUUCUAGGUGUAUAUCACUGUCGUGGAUACUUGGACUAAUAGAGUCGAUGCGGAACUGUAGAGGGUCCUGAGUUUCCGGAAUAACGUACUUUUCAUGAAUGGAUUCUCACAAGGUCUUUCUAUAAUCGCCUAACAUAUACUAGUCAUGUAUAAUUUAGGUGGGGAGGACUGUUGACUGAGCCACUCCGCCUUAAAUCCACAACUAAACAAGGAACAAGAAAUGAGGCAGCAUCACUCACUCUAGGUCUAUCUAUCUUAAUUGUACAUGGCUUUGAUGUAUAUGUCGAGCCAUUAUAGCUCUACCUGAUGAAAAUUUUGAAUUCUUACAACAGUGCUGCGACUUUCACCUUAACGGAAGAGUAAUUACUUUUAGAAUUAACCUUUUAAUGUUUUCGGUUAGUUAUCUGAGAUUGAGAGACGUACCAAACUUUUACCGGGUUCAUUGACGCUUCUUCCUAGGCAUUAGAGUUAGACUCCUCCUGCGCCAUUGUCGUUCCUUUCAGUUGGGCAGUCCCGCUUGAGGUGCCCAAUCUCACCACAUAGAUGGCAAAUUGGAUUGAUCGCCACAUCGAUGGUUGGUGUAAUGAACUCAAUCAGGGUUCUGCAGACGCGAGCGGUAUGCCCCCUUCAUGUUGCAUCUGGUACAACAGAGUUCGCGACAUAUUCCAUGAUGAUGGUAGCUACACUUGCUGCAGUGGGGAAGGUUUCCUAGGUAUGGUCUACUAGGUGGCGGGAUGGAAGGGAUGCCAAGGGUAUUGACUGACUCAGCUUGUUGCCCUUCGGAGGAUCAUUGAGUCGUGGUACUUCCCUCCUGGUUCUUAAACUUUCUCUUCAGUGGGGUUGGCUGAGGUUCUUGGGGGGCUGGGUACGUAGGAGUUGGUUUCUGCUGUCCAUUGCUAGGAUCAGGAAUCCCGAUAGGGAUCUUGCUAACAUUGGCGUUGUUAGCAUUCAGAUGAGCCAUGACAGCUGCUACGGUUGCUGAGACUACAACUUGGAACGUAGCUUCAUCGAAUAGGAGAGUCGGUUUCAUGCCAGCGGACUGGUUACGCUUCUUCGGAGGCAUGGUUUUCCUACACUGAAAGGAACACAAGCUGAUGAGAGACGAUGGUUAACCCUGGACGUAUCUAUCCUCACUAUAAUAGGUAUAAUUUUUCCUGCGCCACGGAUAUUGGUUAUGUGAGUGUCGACCUACAUUCCUAUGAUGCAGUUCGUGAAUUCAAGGUAGGAGUAAGGGUAUCGGAAAGCCAUAAGAUGGGUGUCAUUCCUACAAGGUUAUCUUUAUACUUGAAAAGUUCACUCUCUGGCUUGGAAAGAUUUGAGGGAAGUUCGGAACGAGGAUCACGAAAGAAAAGGGCUCGUGCAAACUUAUGGCUAAACACUCUCAAUAAAGGUGUGGGGAUCCGCUCUAAUCAUAUUACUUGCGGCGGGAAAAGGCGAUUUACCUAACACAUAAUGUGAGUAGUGUAAUCACUAACUCACUAAAUUGUAUUAUUUUAUGGGUGUAUUAGCGCGACUAUAACGAGGAAAAGACACUCCUCGGGUUCCAUGUACUGGCUCCCUCUGUCUACCUCUUAUCCUUGACUGGGGUCGGCAUUGGUUUUCUUCGGGUAGUUACUUAGGGUUCUCUUCUCAUGUAAACAUAUUGAACUUCUACUCCGUCUUACUUCCGAUUCUGACUCUGAGUGUCAGCGAUGUCUUACUUCUGAUCCUGGGCCUGAGUGUCAUCGCUUCACGAUGGAUGACUGGAAAUCUUGGAAGUUCAGGUGGAUUUCCCACCGGUGCCCCUAAAAGGUAUAGGCACCUGGUGAUUUCCAUAGUCUCGUCCUAGUUCAUUUAUUUCCAAACUAGAAAUCUUCUCAAUGAACCUCUUAUGGGUCUGAAUCAACUCUUCUGUCGAAUACUGAAGUGGAUAGGGUUUUCUACAGGGUUCGUGAGAGAAUGGAAAUGUCUAAAGAAUCCUAAGAGAUUAUUAACAUUUCACUGGGCGAUCCAUAUCGAGUCCUGCUAAAAUUACAUAGGGUAUACAAAUUAUAUAUAGCUUAGAUCCGAUAGGACUUCGAAUAUGUGAUACUACUCUAUAUCCACAUCCAAACAAGGAAAAGGAAAUAGAGCGAAACCACACAUUCUUAGUCUAUGGGAUCCUUACUAUAUAUAACCUUGGAAGUAUACCCUCUGUAAUCAUAGGUAUAUCAAUAAGGAUCUUUUUAGUUUUUCACACAAGGUUAUCUAUGGAUCCUAAAAUACCCCUAUGGUAUUUUAAUUUCUUGUUUGAUUCUUAACUUCUGAAUAUGAUUCUGGGAUUAAUGUGAGUCUUUUAGUAUUCCAAAAUACUCCCAUAGUAUUUUAAACUUUAUGUUUGGCUCUAGCAUUCCUAGUUGGUAAGUUUCAGAUUCGUUGCAACACCACUAUCACUCCCAAGCACACGUUGGUCGCAUCUCGAAUAAAUGUAGUUGAUUAGGUUACAUUUAUUCCAGCUUACGACUACAUAACUGCCCAGGUUUGACGGUAAUGGUCAACAUCCAAAGACUUUUAUUUGUUCUUCUUUUGAUACUUUUGUUCGAGUGUUUAGAUUCUGAAUGUUCUUAUACUUUGGUAAAAUAUGGUUAUAUUUUAAAGUAUAAUUCUUGGUCAGAGUGUUUUAUCCCUAUGUAUUUAUAGGCUGUAUAUCUUUUAUGAAUUGAUAUACUUAGCUCACUAUAAACAAUGCUCUGAUACCAAUCUGUCACACCCCAAAACCGGAACGGCGGAAACGUUCUGGGGUGGAUGACGUCAUGUCAAGUAUCACAACAUAUGCAGUAUAGUAAUCAAAGUACAACAACCAUUGCAUUAAUAGUAAUAUUUUACAUAGUUUACAUUUCAAAUGAAUGAUACAGCUAGCAAGGUCUAAAACAUGGAAGUAAUCCUAAGAGUGUUGUUUCAAGAAUACAGUGUUAAAUUCUCGUUACCUUAAGGCCAUGAAUUAUAGGGUAAACAUGGAGAUACUCGUAACCAUACUAAUGGACAUUAGAGUACCUAACGCCCUGCAAGCGUCAUAAUAAUGUGACAUUUGUCACCCCUUGGCUUGGUAGGCCGUGGAUUGUAGCUAGCAGUCAGGGUGCGGGAGUGUCAGUCCCGUAUAGAUCUACACACACAAUGCCUGCUCUCCCUACAGGAGACUCUGGUUACUAAUUGGACCACGGGGAAAUCCGUGUCCUGAAGAUGCAUCUCGUAUACUGAAUUCUAUUAGAGGGGUUGGGGAAAUGAUAUAGACUCGCGAAUGAACUGACUCCUUUGGAAUUCUCGUACUAGAAAGAGUAAAUAGAACCUCCUAACUAUUCCUAUAAUAAUUACUAGUGUCACUGAAUCUAUGAAUGAUGAAUGGAAGGAUGCGCUUGCUACCCAAGGGAAAUGAACUGGUCGAUGUAAACCUUAAUGUCUAUACGUGUAUUCAUGUUAUUUAACUAAUGUUUAAACGACCUUCGAACGGAUAUCCGAUACCCACCAGACCACAUCAAAACAAGGAAAAGGAAACAGGGCGAUCUAGCCUUCCUAUGUCCUUUAAACAUUAUUUCUAUAACUAUACAAAUAUAGGCAUGCAUUUAACAAAAUAAAUGCAUCGAAGGAUACGAAGUAAAAGUGUAAAGGGAUACUUUGACAAAACUUUUGGAAAACCUUUAACAAGAAAUUGCGACUUGAUUUCAUUCUAUAAAUCAACUUUGAAAACCUAAGGAAAAUCUUUGAAAAACCUUCGGAAAACCUUUCGAAUACUUAUGAUAAUUUUUAAAGAGAUAUUCAUACUUUAACAAGAACUGAAAGCGAGAUUGGGAAAACCUUUUGUUAGAUGAAACAGUUUAACAUGUAAAAUCCAUUUGCUAUACAGUUAUUAAUCACAUGGGAUUUAUUAAUAACUGUACAGUUCAACUUGUAUUCCCCCCUAUAAAAGCAGUUAAAACCAUUUAAAAGGUUAAUUCAAGGGUAUGAACUCACCUGUUGUAAGUGGAUCGGACGGAGGUGUCGGUAGGGUGCUCGGUGUCAAGUGAAGACUUGAACCCACUUAAUGACCUAAUAACAUAUGAUGACAUAUGUUUACAUACAAUUAGUGUUUAUAAUACUAAUUAAACAUUUUUAAGCAUCCUAAUGUGCAGAAAACACUUUGGUCAAGUGCUAGGAGGCUAUUGGGUUGCAAUAAGUGAGUGUAUGGCCUAGCUAGGGAGUUUACUCUUCAAGAGUAAACUCUUUAUAGAGUUUACGGCCCUAAGACCAUAUCCCCAUGAGUUUACGGCCGUAAAAUCAUGGGUGGUGUUUUCUUGGAUGUUUUAAUGUCUUAAAUGAAAGGGUAUAAAGUUCUAUGCAUUUUUCCAAGCCAUAUAGGGAAGUUAGGGCAUCAUUUGGCCUCUUUAAGGGAGUUUACGGUCCAUGGACCAAUCCUUGGGGGGUUUACGGCCAUAAACUCCUAUGUCCAUAGUUUCUUUAAUGUUUAAAUCCCUAACUUCAAUUGUGGUUGAUUCUAGACAUCUACCCGAGCCAUAGGAGGUGUUUGAGGGCAAUUCUAACACCUUAAAAGGUGUUCACGGCCCUUGAAGAGGGGUUUACGGUCCAAGAGUGAUCUUGGGCCGUAACUCAUGUUUACUCCUCAAAAUACAAGGUUUUGGUGUUCUAAGCUCGAAGGUGUUAGUCCACAAGUCAUAUCUAAGCCCUAGGGGUGAUUUAUGAGGGUUUUGGGGCUUCAAAACCCCACUUAAGGGUGUUUACGGUCCAAGAGUGAUCUUGGUCCGUAAACACAUGAUUUGGCCCCUAUUGGAUGUCUUAAACACGAAUUUGCAUGUUAAAUGAGCUAAACAACAAGUUAGGGUAGAUCACUUACUAGUUUGGGGCUCGAAAUGGGCAGUUUUUGGAUCGAAAGCAACUUGUAGAGAGAGAGUGAAGAGAGAGAGUGAAAAGGGUGUAAAUGGAGUCCACUCCCCCUUAUAUAGGGGUUGAGCUUGUGGCUCUGUGGAAAUCUACCCAAUACUGACGUUAAACGGGGCUUUUGGUCGCACCCGAUUAAAUGGUCGUAUUUUGACUUGACUGAAACUAAAAUUUUUCAAGGGAAAAUUGAGGGUGUUUCUAAUUUGUUCCAACCCUUAUGAAGUCAUAAUAAAGUCCCAAUUUAAUUAACCUAAUCCAAAAAGGUUAACGGACCAUUUAAUAAAGCGAGUCUUAUUAACGGAAAAGAGGAUAAAAUGACGGGGUAAAUUUCGGGUUGUCACAUCAUCCCCUCGUUAGAGGGAAUUUCGUCCUGAAAUUAGAGUUUACGCAGGGAAGUACGUAUGAACAAUCAAGUAAAGAGAUGCGGGUACUUCCUGUUCAUCUGGUCCUCGCGCUCCCAUGUGAACUCCGGUUUCACUUAACGGGAUGCGGAUUUCGAUUCGUCCAGUUAGCGAUUUCUACGGUUCGUCUAUGAAGUUAGGGUUCCCAAUGGUUUCUAUCGAGAUGAGUGGGAUACAAAGAGUGACGUCGGGCAAACACUUUUCAAGUCUAAGAAGUGGAUUGAUUUGGGUUGAAACUAAUGGAAUUUCCGAGAGUAGUCGUGGUCUGACGAGGGUUAGACCAAUUUUGUAAAGAAUCUCGGAUGGUCCUAAGCUCUCGGAAAGGUAGAGCUUUUCAGUACUUAGAACAUAGUGUACUUCUAUGGCGAGAUCAUCACUGGCGUGAUUGCCAAUCUGAAGUUCUAAAAAGUUCUCUCUUACUGAGGGUGUAGUUCCCAGGUUGGUUCUUAGAAGGUUCAGGUUAUCCUCGGAUUCAUGUUUCCUGCUGACUGGCCUUCAGAGGUUUCCUGGAUCAUUGGAUGAAUUGGAUGUCUACGGGUAUCUAUUCACUGCAGUGUGACUAUCUCAAUCUUGUGCAAAAUGAACUUGCACUCCUGAUUCUUGAGAUGUUUCUAACGGAAACUCUCAGGGUCGGUGAGAUAGGGUUUCGACUAGAUGAUUGUUCAGAAAGUCUUUAAACUUCUCAUCAUCGCCUAGUUGACGCUUUCACAAUAUGAUUCCUAACAAGAAGGAAUCAUUCUCUUACUUACUUUGUUGUUUCAUGAAUAGCAAUCUUUGCCUAGGGCUGACUCGGUCCUUAGAGAUUUUCUGAAGUGUUGGACUAUCUCGGGAGGUGGUUCUACUAUUUCUGUGUGAGAUAGUAUUCUUGGAACACCUAGUAGUCCAAUGAAUCUCUAAGACAUGCCCUAUUCUCCAAGGUGUUGGUUUAUUCCAGUUCCAGAAAUUACGUUUUCUUGUAUAACCCAUCGACUAACACCUAGACUGGUGUCAAGUCCAUAAUCUCACCGGGAUCUGGGUUAUAAGGCUUUACGCAACAUACUUUCGUACUUUAUUCAAGUAUUCUUGGCUGCGGAGGCUAUCUUGUGGUUCUUGGCAUUCUAGUAUUCACUUCGGAGAAUGCAGUCUAUCGUCUACAGGGUGACGGUGACUUCUUCCACGUGAGGAGGCGGAGUGUCCUAAGCACUACUCGUCAGAAAAGGGGUGGACGAAGAGCCUGAAUAAGGCGAUCAUCUUCUGCAACUACUCCCCCGGUGGUUCUGAGUUUUCUUGAUUUAGGUUAAGUCUAGAAGUAUAGGGUUCCAUUACUCGGAACUUCUAGCCUCCUCAUCCACUCUUCUCAAAGUUUAACUUAUCGCAGCUUCCGGAUUUCCGAAAUACCCACUGACAUGCUUAAUUCGGGGGAUAAAACGUGAAUGGAUGGUCGUAGUUAACGUCCUUUACUCUUACGACCCAGAUUUCUUCCCCAAUUGAGGGUGUUAGCUACUAUGUUGGCUUAACCGGGAUGACAACAAAUUUCGGAUUUGUGGUCAUUACAGUAGCUCAACUCGCAGUGGUUCUCUUGACUCUAGUUUCUAUUCUAUGGGAUAAGGUGAAGGGUUUUACUAUGAGGUUCGUGGUGGAGCUCAUACUUGGCUUAACCACUAAUACUUGGUGUACGCAAGCCGUAUAUAAUUGAGGUCGACUGGAUGUUCAGUUGUGCGACUCCAGUCCCAUGAAUCCCUUCCUCUUGAUUCACGAACCUAAUUGUGUGGUGCUAAGGUUCUUUCUGGGCGAUCUACGGAGUAAGCUUCGGGUGGCCAACGUCUUCUGAAUUACCUGCAGUGUCUUUCACUUCGGGUUCUAUUUGUCUAAGGAAGAGUUGGUAAACAGUGCACGAUAUCCUACUCAGGGGUACUUCAGAAGGUUUUAGAUAAGAGAGACGACUGACGCCUCGCGUUAUGUUUACAUAUUAGGUUCGGAAGGACCUUUAUUUGAUGUUUUAGGAUACAAUGAAAGUUCUCUUUACGCAGCACUAGGAAUUUACACAUGGUUGCACCAAGUCGAACCAUGAUUGAUAGAGGCGUCGAAGUUGGCAAACAUCGACACGAUAUAGAAUGAGAGUUGAU
rnacentral:lncRNA from 1 species